CGAGGAGCAACACAUUGCACGCGGUGUGGUGGCCUUUCUGAGCUUUUUAAAGAGUUUGCUGGAUUUUUGAAGCUUUUCCAAAACUUCUUCUACAGCUGUUUGGUAAGUUGAACUUUUAAAACUUUUUUGGGGUUUUGGGAUUUUGGGUUGGGGUGUUUAGAAUUCAAGGACUUGGUGUUGGGGAGAGGUUUGCAAGAAUCUGGGAGCUUGUGUGGUUUUUUCUGCAUUUUUAUGAUUUUCUGUGACCAUUGGGCCAUGUUUAUUUUUUUUUCAAAACAAUCUGGCUUUGAAUUUUGGAAUUUCUGUGGGCUGGGUGGAUGGGGAACAGCUGGGGAGGUGUUUGCAAGAAUCUGGGAGCUUGUGUGCUUUUUUUGAAUUUUUAUGAUUUUUGUGACCAUUGGGCCAUGUUUUUUUUUUUGAAAAAAAUUUCUGGGUUUUAAAUUUCUGUGUGCUGGGUGGAUGGGGGAACAGCUGGGGAGGUGUUUGCAAGAAUCUGGGAGCUUGUGUGCUUUUUUUUGAAUUUUUAUGAUUUUUUUUUAACAAUGGGCCAAGUUUUUUUUUUUUUGAAAAAAGUUUCUGGGUUUUAAAUUUCUUUGUGCUGGUUGGAUGGGGUAACUGCUGGGGAGGGUUUUGCAGCAAUCUGGGUGAUUGUGUGAUUUUUUUGAAUUUUUAUGGUUUUUGUGACCAUUGGGCCAUGUUGUUUUUUUUGAAAAAAAUUUCUGGGUUUUAAAUUUCUGUGUGCUGGGUGGAUGGGGAACAGCUGGGGAGGUGUUUGCAAGAAUCUGGGAGCUUGUGUGCUUUUUUUUGAAUUUUUAUGAUUUUGUGUGAACAUUGGGCCAUGUUGUUGUUUUUUGAAAAAAAAUUUCUGGGUUUUGAAUUUCUGUGUGCUGGGUGGCUGGGGGAACAGUUGAGGAGGGGUUUGCAGGAAUCUGGGAGCUUGUGUGCUUUUUUUUGAAUUUUUAUGAUUUUUUUGUGACCAUUGGGCCAUGUUGUUUUUUUUUGAAAAAAAUUUCUGGGUUUUAAAUUUCUGUGUGCUGGGUGGAUGGGGGACCAGCUGGGGAGGUGUUUGCAAGAAUCUGGGAGCUUGUGUGGUUUUUUGAAUUUUUAUGGUUUUCUGUAACCAUUGGGCCAUGUUGUUUUUUUUGAAAAAUUUUCUGGGUUUUGAAUUUCUGUGUGCUGGGUGGCUGGGGAACAGUUGAGGAGGGGUUUGCAGGAAUCUGGGAGCUUGUGUGGUUUUUUUUGAAUUUUUAUGGUUUUCUGUAACCAUUGGGCCAUGUUGUUGUUUUUUGAAAAAUUUUUGGGUUUUGAAUUUCUGUGUGCUGGUUGGCUGGGGGAACAGUUGAGGAGGGGUUUGCAGGAAUCUGGGAGCUUGUGUGGUUUUUUUUUUGAAUUUUUAUGGUUUUCUGUAACCAUUGGGCCAUGUUGUUGUUUUUUGAAAAAUUUUCUGGGUUUUGAAUUUCUGUGUGCUGGGUGGCUGGGGGAACAGUUGAGGAGGGGUUUGCAGGAAUCUGGGAGCUUGUGUGGUUUUUUUUUUGAAUUUUUAUGGUUUUCUGUGACCAUUGGGCCAUGUUGUUUUUUUUAAAAAAAUUUUCUGGGUUUUGAAUUUCUGUGUGCUGGGUGGCUGGGGGAACAGUUGAGGAGGGGUUUGCAACAGUUGGGGAGGGGUUUGCAACAGUUGGGGAGGGGCUGGGGGAACAGUUGAGGUUUUUGAAGACUUUGGUGAUUUUUAAAGCUUUCCCAAAACUUCUUUUGCAGCCAUUUGAGGAUUUUGAAGACUUUGGUGAUUUGCAGCCAUUUCGUAAGUUAAACUUUUAAAACUUUUUUUGGGGGUUUUGGAUUUUGGGUUGGGUGUUUGGAAUUCAAGGACUUGGUUGUGGGUUUGAAUUGCUGAUUUUUUUUUUCUUUUUCUGAGUUUUACAAAGGUAACAGCUGUGCUGCCAUGGGACCCAAGAAGACUG